CACAAGUGAGAACACUAAUCAAAACAACAAACACAAUAGCAGUAACCAACACGCAAGUGCGCAGAUGAAAUUCAACUACACGAAAAUAACUACUUUAGAAAGAAAACUCAAUAUAAUUGAAAUAAAAAGUUUUGAAAAUAUUGACUAACAUAAACUAAAACAAUUUAAUAAGAGACCAAUCAACAAAUUUUAGAAACGGCCACCGAUCUUACUUCUUUGGGCAAGUUUCUAGUGAAUACCAUAAAAAUAUUCUGCUCACAUUAAAAGCUUUUAAAAUUCUACAAACUCG